CAAAAGGGCUUCAACAACGUCAGUGUUUCGAAUGGUAUCCUUCGCUGGGCGCUAUUCGCGGAAUCUAUAUCAAGAGAUUUCGGAAGCAUAAUUUUUAGAAGAGGGAAAGCUGGUAACCUGAUGUUCUGGCAUCCCG